CGUAGGGCGAUGCCCUACGCUAAUUUAUAUCGCCCCUUCAGGGCU
rnacentral:sRNA from 1 species